GAUGAACGCUGGCGGCGUGCCUAAUACAUGCAAGUCGAGCGAACAGACGAGGAGCUUGCUCCUUUGACGUUAGCGGCGGACGGGUGAGUAACACGUGGGUAACCUACCUAUAAGACUGGGAUAACUUCGGGAAACCGGAGCUAAUGCCGGAUAAUAUUUCGAACCGCAUGGUUCGAUAGUGAAAGAUGGCUCUGCUAUCACUUAUAGAUGGACCUGCGCCGUAUUAGCUAGUUGGUAAGGUAACGGCUUACCAAGGCAACGAUACGUAGCCGACCUGAGAGGGUGAUCGGCCACACUGGAACUGAGACACGGUCCAGACUCCUACGGGAGGCAGCAGUAGGGAAUCUUCCGCAAUGGGCGAAAGCCUGACGGAGCAACGCCGCGUGAGUGAUGAAGGUCUUCGGAUCGUAAAACUCUGUUAUUAGGGAAGAACAAACGUGUAAGUAACUGUGCACGUCUUGACGGUACCUAAUCAGAAAGCCACGGCUAACUACGUG
rnacentral:rRNA from 1 species